CCCCGCCUCCGCCACCUCCCCGCCACCACCCACCUCCGGAAAGCAGAUUCACUGACAAAGCACCUCGCCCCGCAGGACUCCCCGCCCCGUGUGCACCCACCCGGAAUCCGAGCGUUCAUCGAUAGCGUUUGCUGGAAGCUUCGCGGAUCUACUAAGAGAAGAGGAAAAGCCUCAGGAUGGACAUUCGAAAGGUCAGGUCGUCCAGGGCUGGGCUGCAGAGAUCUUCCGCAGAAGACUUACCACCCUUGACACAUGGCCUCGGUGGAUUUUAUCCAAAUAGGGGUUGCUUCAGAGUUUAUUCAUGCAAAAGAUUCAGGACACCGGCAGGUUCCUGGUAAGACCACCUCAGCUUGCAGUCCUCGCUGGGAAGGAGGGGACAGCGAACGGCUUAUGAAGCUGAUCGGGGCCUUCUUAGGUUGGUGGGAAUUUUGCUUCCUUUGCAAAGAGGACUCAGUGCACAGUUCCAGCAGCCUUUUCCUAUCCUCUUGAGACAGGAUGGCUGAGCUUGGUAGGAAUGGAGGAGGGACCAGGACCCAUGGCCCAACCCCAUCGCCUGCUCUCCCUGUGCCAGCGUGGGCCAGCGGCGCUGCACAGCCACCUCCUGGACGUCCCUUCACCUCCCCUGGGUUGAACUGUGGAUCAGAAACAUAGGACCUAGUAGGUGCCCUGUGCAAGGUAACUAUGCUGUGUUCUCACCACAGUACCUUAAUAAACUACCAAAUAGAUGUCAGUAAUCCCUGUUCCAUGAUGACACAAGGCCAUGAUCCCCACACGACCCAUUUAUUUCCCUCUCUGAUUUUUAACACAUCUUCCUCUUCCCCUUUAAACAAGCAGGUAUGAAUUCUUAAGUCAUGCCUGCUUGAAUUCAGGAGGAGAGGCCUAAGAUUAGAAUUAGAAGGAAGGUUUUAAAUCAAGUGACCUAUGACUGAGUUCAAAACAACUCACUCCAGCAAGCCAGCUGGCAAAACGACUUCCAAUUCAUGAAAGCGGGGGGAAAAAAAGCCUUCCCAUUUGAGUCACUCGACCAUUUCACGCACAAAGACUUUGUGUACGUACCAGAAAGACAAGCCUUUCCACAUUUGCAUGUAUCCUUUUUAUAGUUGUUGUGAUUUUGCCAGGUGCUUUAUGACCAUUUUUUAUUAGCUGGGUCUCUCCAUAGUCCUGUGAGGUAUAGAUUAGAAGGUAAAGCAGGUCCUGUACAGGAUGAGGCAGGAAGCAAACUCUCCAGGGACAUCUUACUCCAGGAAAGCCUGUGUGAAAGAACGCACUUUCCCCUGCUUGCCGGAGGCACCAGGAAAUAGAAGUCAGCCUGGAAAAUACUGCUGAGCCAUUUUUAAAAGCAAAUUUCUUUAUAAAGCGCAUAUAUUUCUUCUCUCUCUCUCUCUCAUUUGCUUAACUUCAGCCGGUCUAUAUUUCAGUUCAAACAUAGGAUCAUAUAGCAAAUCCCUCC
rnacentral:lncRNA from 1 species